CGGGAAAAGCUCAAAUUUAAAAUCUGGCGGUCCCUGUGGCCGUCCGAGUUGUAAGUUAGAGAAGUGUUAUCCGCGCUGGACCGUGUACAAGUCCCUUGGAAUAGGGCAUCAUAGAGGGUGAGAAUCCCGU
rnacentral:rRNA from 1 species